AUGCCCUUGGUCCUGGUCCCCUCCAGGCUCCCAGAUAGGGCAGGGGCCAGGGUGACGCAGGUGAGGCACUGGUCUUGGGCACAACAUCCAAGGGGCCGCCAAAAACUCAGUCAUCAAGAUCGCCCGUCCUCCAGCGCGGUAUUCCAGCACAUGGAAGCUAAUGCGGAAAUCCGCGUGAACAAAGCAUCAACAGCGUGGAGACAGGCGGGGGUGGGACCACCAUUCUUUUGCCUCAGGCUCCCACGUGGCCCUGGGGGGCAGUUCCUGGAGGACCCGCCUCCAUCAGGCUCUGAAGGCCACCACAGUGGCGAGACUGGUGGUGAGACUGGCGGGGGGGUGGGGGGGGACACUCUGCUGCGCUCCCCUCUGCCCACACAGAUGGUCACAUCUCCGUGCAGACAGCCAAGCCGCCCUCCCCCACCGGCCAGCUGUUGCCGGCAGAGCGCUGGGCUGGAGAUUGUGAAAGAGGAGCCGUCAGCGUCAGCGCAGUCUCCCUUCCCCGCUCGCUCCACUCCCAGGCCAGCUCCAGGUUCCCAGGCCACAGGCUUGCCUUCUUUGGGCCUUGCUCAUGCCCUUCCAUCAUCCAAGAAGCUGCUCCCAUCUCUGCCUCCUCACACCUUCCAGGCCCAGCUCAAGUGCCACCUCCUCCAAGAAGCCUCGCCAUCUGUGAACCCCCACGGGUUCCCGUCAGGCGCUGGUACGGUUUGGCAUGGCAUAUCCCGUGUGAGUGCAUGCUCCCUCUGUGCGAGGGACCCCCCUGGGCGGUCCCUGUCUCCUGCCAUGUCCAGCGCGUGCCCACACAUGAGGUGGCAAGGACGAGCAGGAAUAGGGAGCAGACCAGAGCACAGAGUGAGGUCAGAGUGGAUGCAGAGUUUAGCCCGGGGAGGAGAGCCCAGGUGCGGUGCCUCUAGGGACCCCUUACCUGGGUGUCUUCAGUGUCCUUUGGCCUCUUCCAAGGCUGGGGUCCUGAAUCCACCCCUCAGGGCUUUGUUUCCUCAUGGCACCCAGGCGGGCGUGGGGGGCACUGCCACCCAGAUGAGGGGGCUCGGGGUGGGGAGCAGGAGCUCCCGGCGUCCGCAGGGUGUCCUGGGCUGCUCUCUGGGCCGCCUCCUCUGGGGUGACUCAGCCUCCCCUGGCGCACUUCCCAUGAAGGUUUAUGGAGAUGGGGCAGUGAUGCAUAUCUCACUCGCCAGCAGCCCUUUUCUUUCCAACCCAGCUAUUCGGAGGGGUGGUGGCCAGGAGGAAGGGGCAAGGAGAAUCCUCUUCAGACCAGUGCCCAGACCCCCGCCGUACACAGGAGCAGCAGGUGUGAAGCAGGAGAGGGCAGUGGGACCGCAGCAGGGCGUGGCUGGCACGGGAGGGGGGCCUCAAAGAUGGAGGGCUGCCCAAGCGGAGGCCGGCAGAGUCCCCCUCCGCAGAGGGUUGUGA
rnacentral:lncRNA from 1 species